CCUACGGGAGGCAGCAGUAAGGAAUAUUGGACAAUGCCCGCAAGGGUGAUCCAGCCAUGCCGCGUGCAGGAAGACGGCCCUAUGGGUUGUAAACUGCUUUUAUACAAGAGAAAACCUCCCUACGUGUAGGGAGCUGAUAGUAUUGUAGGAAUAAGCAUCGGCUAACUUCGUGCCAGCAGCCGCGGUAAGACGAAGGAUGCAAGCGUUAUCCGGAUUCAUUGGGUUUAAAGGGAGCGUAGGCGGUCUUAUAAGUCAGUGGUGAAAGCUUCUCGCUUAACGAGGAAAUUGCCAUUGAUACUGUAGGACUUGAGUACAGUUGCUGUGGGCGGAAUAUGACAUGUAGUGGUGAAAUACAUAGAGAUGUCAUAGAACACCGAUUGCGAAGGCAGCUCACAAACUGUAACUGACGCUGAGCGUCGAAGUAGCGGAGUACAACAGAUAGUAUACCUCGUAGUCGCACUAGUAACG
rnacentral:rRNA from 1 species